rnacentral:rRNA from 1 species
AGAACGAACGCUGGCGGCAUGCCUAAUACAUGCAAGUCGAACGAACACUUCGGUGUUAGUGGCGCACGGGUGCGUAACGCGUGGGAAUCUGCCCUUGGGUUCGGAAUAACAGUUGGAAACGACUGCUAAUACCGGAUGAUAUCGAAAGAUCAAAGAUUUAUCGCCCAGGGAUGAGCCCGCGUAGGAUUAGCUAGUUGGUGAGGUAAAGGCUCACCAAGGCGACGAUCCUUAGCUGGUCUGAGAGGAUGAUCAGCCACACUGGGACUGAGACACGGCCCAGACUCCUACGGGAGGCAGCAGUAGGGAAUAUUGGACAAUGGGCGCAAGCCUGAUCCAGCAAUGCCGCGUGAGUGAUGAAGGCCUUAGGGUGUAAACCUCUUUCAGCAGGGACGAAGCGUGAGUGACGGUACCUGCAGAAGAAGCACCGGCUAACUACGUGCCAGCAGCCGC